rnacentral:rRNA from 1 species
GGGUUGUGAGGUUAAGCGACUAAGCGUACACGGUGGAUGCCCUGGCAGUCAGAGGCGAUGAAGGACGUGCUAAUCUGCGAUAAGCGUCGGUAAGGUGAUAUGAACCGUUAUAACCGGCGAUUUCCGAAUGGGGAAACCCAGUGUGAUUCGUCACACUAUCAUUAACUGAAUCCAUAGGUUAAUGAGGCGAACCGGGGGAACUGAAACAUCUAAGUACCCCGAGGAAAAGAAAUCAACCGAGAUUCCCCCAGUAGCGGCGAGCGAACGGGGAGCAGCCCAGAGCCUGAAUCAGUGUGUGUGUUAGUGGAAGCGUCUGGAAAGGCGUGCGAUACAGGGUGACAGCCCCGUACACAAAAAUGCACAUACUGUGAGCUCGAUGAGUAGGGCGGGACACGUGGUAUCCUGUCUGAAUAUGGGGGGACCAUCCUCCAAGGCUAAAUACUCCUGACUGACCGAUAGUGAACCAGUACCGUGAGGGAAAGGCGAAAAGAACCCCGGCGAGGGGAGUGAAAAAGAACCUGAAACCGUGUACGUACAAGCAGUGGGAGCACGCUUAGGCGUGUGACUGCGUACCUUUUGUAUAAUGGGUCAGCGACUUAUAUUCUGUAGCAAGGUUAACCGAAUAGGGGAGCCGAAGGGAAACCGAGUCUUAACUGGGCGUUAAGUUGCAGGGUAUAGACCCGAAACCCGGUGAUCUAGCCAUGGGCAGGUUGAAGGUUGGGUAACACUAACUGGAGGACCGAACCGACUAAUGUUGAAAAAUUAGCGGAUGACUUGUGGCUGGGGGUGAAAGGCCAAUCAAACCGGGAGAUAGCUGGUUCUCCCCGAAAGCUAUUUAGGUAGCGCCUCGUGAAUUCAUCUCCGGGGGUAGAGCACUGUUUCGGCAAGGGGGUCAUCCCGACUUACCAACCCGAUGCAAACUGCGAAUACCGGAGAAUGUUAUCACGGGAGACACACGGCGGGUGCUAACGUCCGUCGUGAAGAGGGAAACAACCCAGACCGCCAGCUAAGGUCCCAAAGUCAUGGUUAAGUGGGAAACGAUGUGGGAAGGCCCAGACAGCCAGGAUGUUGGCUUAGAAGCAGCCAUCAUUUAAAGAAAGCGUAAUAGCUCACUGGUCGAGUCGGCCUGCGCGGAAGAUGUAACGGGGCUAAACCAUGCACCGAAGCUGCGGCAGCGACGCUUAUGCGUUGUUGGGUAGGGGAGCGUUCUGUAAGCCUGUGAAGGUGUGCUGUGAGGUAUGCUGGAGGUAUCAGAAGUGCGAAUGCUGACAUAAGUAACGAUAAAGCGGGUGAAAAGCCCGCUCGCCGGAAGACCAAGGGUUCCUGUCCAACGUUAAUCGGGGCAGGGUGAGUCGACCCCUAAGGCGAGGCCGAAAGGCGUAGUCGAUGGGAAACAGGUUAAUAUUCCUGUACUUGGUGUUACUGCGAAGGGGGGACGGAGAAGGCUAUGUUGGCCGGGCGACGGUUGUCCCGGUUUAAGCGUGUAGGCUGGUUUUCCAGGCAAAUCCGGAAAAUCAAGGCCGAGGCGUGAUGACGAGGCACUACGGUGCUGAAGCAACAAAUGCCCUGCUUCCAGGAAAAGCCUCUAAGCAUCAGGUAACAUCAAAUCGUACCCCAAACCGACACAGGUGGUCAGGUAGAGAAUACCAAGGCGCUUGAGAGAACUCGGGUGAAGGAACUAGGCAAAAUGGUGCCGUAACUUCGGGAGAAGGCACGCUGAUACGUAGGUGAAGCGACUUGCUCGUGGAGCUGAAAUCAGUCGAAGAUACCAGCUGGCUGCAACUGUUUAUUAAAAACACAGCACUGUGCAAACACGAAAGUGGACGUAUACGGUGUGACGCCUGCCCGGUGCCGGAAGGUUAAUUGAUGGGGUUAGCGCAAGCGAAGCUCUUGAUCGAAGCCCCGGUAAACGGCGGCCGUAACUAUAACGGUCCUAAGGUAGCGAAAUUCCUUGUCGGGUAAGUUCCGACCUGCACGAAUGGCGUAAUGAUGGCCAGGCUGUCUCCACCCGAGACUCAGUGAAAUUGAACUCGCUGUGAAGAUGCAGUGUACCCGCGGCAAGACGGAAAGACCCCGUGAACCUUUACUAUAGCUUGACACUGAACAUUGAGCCUUGAUGUGUAGGAUAGGUGGGAGGCUUUGAAGUGUGGACGCCAGUCUGCAUGGAGCCGACCUUGAAAUACCACCCUUUAAUG